UUCAAAUUCAAAAUAUCGGUACCUGUUUUUAUUCGAACCCAGGACGCAAGGUUCGGAAGCCAAGCACUUAACCGCUCAGCCGCAUUGCCCUCUGACAUAGACACGAACUAUUCAAAGAUGUCCUGCAAUAGAAAAACUCAAACUGAUAGAAAAAUAUCGAAAAGACUCAAAACAGAAAAACUAGACCGUCCA
rnacentral:sRNA from 1 species